GAGGGUAUAGCUCAGUGGUAGAGAAUGUGCUUAGCAUAGGCAAGGUCCUGGGUUCAAUCCCCAGUCCCUCCA
rnacentral:tRNA from 1 species